AUUUGCUUCAUGCUGGCAUCUUUGUUUUUCCUUGCAGAAAAACUUCCUCUGUGCUCUAGAGAGACUGAGGAAAUGGAUCACUGAGGAUCAAGCUACUCUACAACGAAUUUUGCAUGACUAUUUGAAAUGUGUCAAAGCAAGGCGAACAUAGACUGUUACCCAGUCACAUCCAUGCAAUUCUGAAGAAAAUGCUCUGGCAGCUGGAUCUGGUGAAUCUUGGGCUGUGCUGUUAAUUCAGUCCAGAGGGACAAUGUUCUCUAAAGAUUUUGCAGGCAUUCUCUAGCUGGCAUUUUUACCACUUACUAGUGACUGUGAAUUACAGUAUUAGUAGGCUUUAGAAAAAUUUCGAUUGAAAUUCCUGUUUUUUAGCUGUAGUUCUGAUCUUCUUUAUAUAACUAGAGAAAGAAUAGUUGAAUAGCUGUGGAAAGUGAGAAAGCUUCUCUUUAACAGUCCUAGAGAACAAACAACAUUAUUUGUUUUUUUUUCUUGCCCAGUUGUUACAGCCUGAUCAAUACAAUUUAAUAUUUUGCUGAAUAUGUCUAGUUAAAAAAAAAAAGUAAA